CUGUAAACCUUUGAUGUAAAUUUACAGCUAAAAUCUCACAGUAUUUUACUGUUUUAAUAUUAUACAGGAUUAUACUGUAUGUGGCAAUGCAUUCUGGGAGAAAAUAAAUUAACGGUCUAGGACUACAGCAAAUAUCUGCAGAAUGUUGCAGAUUACAGAUUUACUGUAAAUCGCAGUGCAUCUCGGGAAAAUAAAGAAAAAAGCGGGGAUUACAAUUUAAAAUAUUUCAGACAACGACAGGCUCGCGAUGCAUAUCAGUCUCUGGUCUCUGAGGAAAGCGCGUGGACAGCAGCAGUUGCACCAAGAGGACGCGAGUCAGCGGCUUUUUCAACAUUUAUGUGUCUGCCACUCCCGCCAUGUUACAGACUGUCCCGCUGCCUGAAAGCUGAGAUUAAUAGUACCGGUCCAACUGACUGAUCAGCGGGGGGUGUGAGCGUGGAGGGCCAGGUUGUCAGUGAGGGGGGGUCCUUUGAGCUGGGACUUGCUGUUCUAAUGUCAACUCACUACAACUUUAACCUGCAAUACCAGGACCAGGCUGCAUGCUCGUUGGAGUUCAUUCAGAGGAUCUGCAUGGGGACUAAUCCUGAGAGAGGAUCAAAGGCACCCAGCAGAAAAACUGGAAAGAUGGUCCAGAAGAAACCUUCAACAGUGAACCCGCAUGUCUGCACCCUGAUCAGGAAGCUCAACGACUUCAAGUGGGACUUUGUUUGAGUUUCUCUUGUAUUGUUUUGUUUAGCUGCAGAUAUCAUUUGUCAUUCAUCAAUUAACAAUAUCUGCUAGUUUUUGUGUUGUUUAGUUCAGUUCUUGCGGCUGUAUGUAGUGUUUUGCCCCAUUCAAGUGUUUCAUUGAUGUUUUAAAGAUUUUUGAUUUAAACGGUUACUGCAUGGGAGCCAAGCAGUUACAAGAUGAGUUACUACAUUAUGAUUGAUUCUAAAAUAAAGAGUUAAUUAGA